CCUACGGGGGGCAGCAGUGGGGAAUAUUGGACAAUGGGGGCAACCCUGAUCCAGCCAUGCCGCGUGUGUGAAGAAGGCCCUCGGGUUGUAAAGCACUUUCAGUGAGGAAGAACGCCUGGUGGUUAAUACCCAUCAGGAAAGACAUCACUCACAGAAGAAGCACCGGCUAACUCCGUGCCAGCAGCCGCGGUAAUACGGAGGGUGCGAGCGUUAAUCGGAAUUACUGGGCGUAAAGCGCGCGUAGGUGGCGUGAUAAGCCGGUUGUGAAAGCCCCGGGCUCAACCUGGGAACGGCAUCCGGAACUGUCAAGCUAGAGUGCAGGAGAGGAAGGUAGAAUUCCCGGUGUAGCGGUGAAAUGCGUAGAGAUCGGGAGGAAUACCAGUGGCGAAGGCGGCCUUCUGGACUGAAACUGACACUGAGGUGCGAAAGCGUGGGUAGCAAACAGGAUUAGAUACCCCAGUAGUC
rnacentral:rRNA from 1 species